rnacentral:tRNA from 1 species
GGGGAUUUAGCUCAGUGGUAGAGUGCUUGCCUAGCAAGCGCAAGGCCCUGGGUUCAUUCCCCA